CCCACAUCCUUCCAGCAACGGAUAAAGCAACUCCCCUGGUCUGAACCAAGUGGCUCCAGGUUAAAAUCUGGAUUUUGUGGUUUCCUCUCUCACCUUCUCCAGCUCCUACCAGCACUUCCAGCUUCCUCCAGUUGGAAAUUCCUACCAGCUCUUCCAAGGGUGUUAUGUACGCACAAGUCAAGGUCUCAUACCCAUGUCCUGACCCUGACAGCAUCCCCAAAUGAAUUUCUAGCAGCAGCAGCAGCAAUGCCUUGUCCUGAGACAAACACAGGCAGAUGUGGCUGAAGCUGAAGGGGAGCAUUAAAUGCUCCUUUUCCAGCAGGGCUGGGCACGAUGGAGCAGCCAAGCACCCUGCAAAAGUUGUUCACAUGAGCUCUGCUCUGCUGUCCAGGAGCUGAAUUCCACCCCCUGUACCUCGAGACUGCUUUUCAUCACCCCCCUUCCCUGCUGAGCAGCUUCAUGGCGUAAUAAUUUCAGCUAUAUGAGGAGAAAGAGAAAGAAAGAGCAAAACAAAACCUUUGAGCCAGAUCCUCACCUGAGGCAGCCUUCAUCAGAGGAGCCAAACCUCCCCCAGCCCUGUGUCUGCUUUUCACCAAGGCAAGAGCUGAUACCAAGGUGUGAAAGCCUCUACAAGCAGAGAGACAGGCAGCUGCUUUUUUGUCAGCUCGAUUACUGCUUCAUCCUAAAUAUGUGGAGCAUGUUCAGGACACUUCUCAUGCUGCAAUCUGAAGGCAGAGCAUGAAACUUUGUAAGCUUCAGGAGGGAUUUCAGCUUUCCCUUGAUUUCCUAUUUUACCUCUUGUUAUGUGUUCCAGCAGGAACAACGCAUCGUUCUCCUGCAAGGCCUUUUAUUUAAUGACUUCAAAAUGCUUUGGAACCAUUUGACUUUAUAAUAAGAACUGGGUCAGUCCUGCCUUCCUCAUUUUGGAGAUGAGGACAAACAGGGAGGCUGCCAGCCAGAAAACUGCAAUUAAAAGGAUCCCAAAGAAGAUCAACGUUGCCAAGCCGAGUCUAUCUCUACAACAAACUGGAAGGAUGAUUGAGGGGAAGAAGAGAAUUUUUUUAGAAGAGAAUGGGACUGCAAAAGGUGGUGGGGCCUCCCAAAGCAGCCUUGGGCAGAACUGCAGAACUGCAGCAAGACACCAAAUUAGGGGGGAUUUACCCCAUGGAAUGCUGGUAGGAAACUGCAGAGCCAGUGAUAAUGGCUGGCCAAGACACCUCACAGGGGUUUCUCCUCUCCAUUUCUGCUUUUGUUCAUGGCUCAUCACAGCCUGAGUGUGGAACUCACCAGGAGGGGUUCCAAUUAGCUUUGGUUAUUGCAAGUAAAAUAACACAUCCUGAGGAUAAUAAUAAAAUAUAAAAAAAUAAAAAAAAAUAUAAAUA
rnacentral:lncRNA from 1 species